CAUGCCCGACGACGUAGCCUACUCUCGAAGUCCCGACUUUUUUUCCGUUCGUUCUUCCUCUCCCCGAUCCCUUCUGCUGCUAUUGCUCGCCAUCACGCGCCGUCGCCCACCACCAUGCGCCACCGCUCGUAGAGAGAGGAUGGGAGGCCGAGGGCGGAGGUCUCCCGUGCGCAGGGGCGGCUCCCGUUGGGGCCGAAGGCAGCGGCGUGGUCCAAGACUGCGCGCUGACUAGAGUUGGAGGAGGUGCCGCGCCCUCGGGCGCGUUUGCCGGCUCCCCCAUGCGGAUCCAGUGGCGACGAGGCUACUAUGGCCGUGUGGUCCAGCGGCGACGAGGUUCCAUCGGCGUCACGGGAUCCAACGGAGUCAAGGGUUCCAGCAGCGUCUCGGGAUCCAACGGCGUCGGCCAAGGUGAGUGCGCCGGCGGCGAAGUGCUUCGUGGCGUAGGAACUCGAAGAGAUCAGUGAAGAUCCGAGGCAGAUCGUAGAUCGCCAUUCUUACCUUUGUUUCUUCUUUGUUUUUGUUCUUGCUCUGUGAUUCUUCUCGCUCUAUUCUUGCUCUGUAAUGGCAGAGUCUAGGGUGCGUGAUAACGUGUUGUGAAUGAAAUGAAUGUGUAUGUUUUCCAUUGAUUGAGUUCAUAUAUAUACAAGGAGAAGAGACACCAAUACAUGCAUUGGUGUCCGAAGAUUUGGC
rnacentral:lncRNA from 1 species